GAACAUGAGGAGGAGGUUCUAGUGCUUGUCCUCUCUGAGAACAUAAGGAAUUUAUCUGAGAACAUAAGGAAUUUAAUGUUGAACAAGCUACAUGAAAAAUUUAUUUAAUAUUGAAGUUAUAGUACAAUACUACAAAUGAAAGCUUAAAAUACAUACCCGAGGACAUGUCCUCUUAUUAUGACCUUCAUUUUUACAUAGUGUGCACUUAGAUGGGGCAUGAUAUCUCUGUAGCUUUUUUGCACCUUCGGGAAUCUCAUUUGGUUCUAAAGUUCUUCUCUUUUUUGGCCUUCCUGGUUAUUUGUGAUAGAGUGGUGGUAGAAUCGGCAUGCCACCAGUUUUAGGCCACAAGUCUUGACCAGACAUUGGGGAAAUGAAGUAACCAUAGGCUCGGUCAUAAGCCUCCCUCUUGUAAUGGUUAUGUACAAAAUCAUAUGGACUCGCAUCCAUCCAACCAAGACAAGUCAUUGCAUGAGAACAUGGAAUAUCACAGAGGUUCCACUUUCUACAUGAGCAAGUUCUAUCCUCCAUAUUAACAUAAAAUUUUCUUCCCUUUAAAGUUAAUAUAUCAAAGAGUAGUUUCAUACUGAUUUUUUCCCUUUAAAUUUUUGGUUAUAUAUUUACCGGAUCAGAUCAGAGCUCUCCAGACCUACCCGGUUCCUUCGCAUGUUUACCUGCGACGAGGAUCAGACGGUUUCUUCGUCUUCCGGCGGUCUCUUGGUGUCGUACCGGUGGCUAUAGCUUCGUCUCAGCGUCGUCAUCACACCUGUGCUCUUGGUUUCCUCAAACGAACUCCAACGGAGGAGAAUCGAAGCGCAGAAGCUUCGGCUGUUAAUGAUGAUUUCCGAUUCCGGCCAUUUCACCGCUUCGCAUGACUGGUGGAGCUUCCUCUCGACGUCAGCAACGUUUCUAUGGUGUUGGUUUGCUGAGAUGAUGAGCCAAGAAAGAGAAUCGAAGGGGAGAAGAUGUUUGGGAUUUCCGGCAAGUUUUCUUGCUUUUCCGGCGACUCCGACGGUGAAUAAGAGCAGCUACUAUGUUCAUGGUUGAUUGUGGUGGUGUUACACGCUUUGGCCAUUUUCCGAUCGCCUGGAUUAUGAUUUGAUCGUUUGUUAUUUCUGGAAUCAGAGAAAUGGAGGAGUUGGGGACUUGGGGUGGAAGUCUAGAAUUGAACUAUCGAAGUAGUGUUGGUGUUCUUUGUUCUUUUGCUGCUGUACUGAGUUCGAGUUAAUACUUGAGGAUAUAGAUGAUUUCAACAAAGACGAUUUGUGAGUUAUGAUACAUGCACAUAGAACAUUUGAAUGUCUAGUAAUUCAAAGUUAUUUUCUAUGUGUUGGUCUAUGGCUGAUGAAUUAAUUCAGAGAUUUCAAGCACAAGAGUUGCAGAGCUUGAUUUUGAAGUUGGGAUGCAGACUUGGAAUUUGAUAAUUGUGGUACAAUUGGUGUAAAGGCACUAUAGUUGAUCUUAUUAUUUGUGUGCUUAUAGUUGUGAAUUAAUUUAGGUGAAGAACUAUUUGAGUUUGAUUUGAGAAAAUAGAAAGAAUUGGGAAUAAGGAUUUUGGGUGUCCUUAGUAAAUUUGAGGACUGUGAUUAGGGUACGAACGAUCAUGUGUGAGAGGAAGAAAUCAGAAGAGCAUGUACAAGUCAAAUUGAUUAUAUUUUAGGAACAAUGUGCGAAGAGGAUGAGAAGAAGAUUUAGAUUGGAAAA